GUAAGCAUUUCAUGGUAAGGUCUACACUGUUGGUUAAGGGCUUGUAAGUAAGCAUUUCAUGGUAAGGUCUACACUGUUGGUUAAGGGCUUGUAAGUAAGCAUUUCAUGGUAAGGUCUACACUGUUGGUUAAGGGCUUGUAAGUAAGCAUUUCAUGGUAAGGUCUACACUGUUGGUUAAGG